rnacentral:rRNA from 1 species
CUACGGAGGGGGCUAGCGUUGUUCGGAAUUACUGGGCGUAAAGCGCGCGUAGGCGGAUUGAUCAGUCAGGGGUGAAAUCCCGAGGCUUAACCUCGGAACUGCCUUUGAUACUGUCAAUCUUGAGUUCGAGAGAGGUGAGUGGAAUUCCUAGUGUAGAGGUGAAAUUCGUAGAUAUUAGGAAGAACACCAGUGGCGAAGGCGGCUCACUGGCUCGAUACUGACGCUGAGGUGCGAAAGCGUGGGGAGCAAACAGGAUUAGAAACCCCAGUAGUCC